rnacentral:tmRNA from 1 species
GGGGACGUUCCGGUUUCGACGGGGAUGUUGAAGCACGGGAAGCGGGUCGCAGCGGGAACUGCGUUAAAAGCCCAAACCUAAAAUUAAAAGCUAACAAUAACGUAGCUUACGCUGCCUAAUUAGGCGGCCGUUCUUACCGGGAGGACCACGACCCGGAUAAGAGCGUCACACAGUGGUGAACGUGACGCGGUUAAGCUUUGCGCCGUGCAUGACAAAUGAAGCUACCAAAACCGUUCGGCUGUCAUUCGCCGUGCGGCAGAGGGAAUGAUUAACGAAUGACUGCACCCGGAGAUGCCUGUGUGAAUAUGUUUUCGGACAGGGGUUCAACCCCCCUCGUCUCCACCA